UCUGCUGCGGUUUUGUAACGGCGACAGGAUAAUGUAAACAGCUUCUUUUCUUUUCUUUGGUGCCUCAUUAAUCAUCAAUAAAAAAAUAAUUGAUUGCUCACGUGAGUUCUUUCUCUCUACCUCCUAACCCACGUGUUGGUGAAUCUGUGUUCAGAGCUAUCUGUUGAAAUGGCCAAGUCGAAGAAUCAUACCAACCACAAUCAAAG